rnacentral:miRNA from 1 species
CUGGAUGUGUCUGCGGCGUUU